CGUGCUACAAUGGCGCAUACAAAGAGAAGCGACCUCGCGAGAGCAAGCGGACCUCAUAAAGUGCGUCGUAGUCCGGAUUGGAGUCUGCAACUCGACUCCAUGAAGUCGGAAUCGCUAGUAAUCGUGGAUCAGAAUGCCACGGUGAAUACGUUCCCGGGCCUUGUACACACCGCCCGUCACACCAUGGGAGUGGGUUGCAAAAGAAGUAGGUAGCUUAACCUUCGGGAGGGCGCUUACCACUUUGUGAUUCAUGACUGGGGUGAAGUCGUAACAAGGUAACCGUAGGGGAACCUG
rnacentral:rRNA from 1 species